UACGGAGGGGGCUAGCGUUGUUCGGAAUUACUGGGCGUAAAGCGCACGUAGGCGGCUUUACAAGUCAGGGGUGAAAGCCCGCGGCUCAACCGCGGAAUUGCCCUUGAGACUGUAUCGCUUGAACACGGGAGAGGUGAGUGGAAUUCCGAGUGUAGAGGUGAAAUUCGUAGAUAUUCGGAAGAACACCAGUGGCGAAGGCGGCUCACUGGACCGUAGUUGACGCUGAGGCGCGAAAGCGUGGGGAGCAAACAGG
rnacentral:rRNA from 1 species